rnacentral:rRNA from 1 species
GUGGGGAAUCUUCCACAAUGGACGAAAGUCUGAUGGAGCAACGCCGCGUGAGUGAAGAAGGGUUUCGGCUCGUAAAGCUCUGUUGUCGGGGACGAAUGUGCAGUAUUUGAAUAAAGUACUGCAAUGACGGUACCUGACGAGGAAGCCACGGCUAACUACGUGCCAGCAGCCGCGGUAAUACGUAGGUGGCAAGCGUUGUCCGGAAUUAUUGGGCGUAAAGGGAGCGCAGGCGGGAAGGUAAGUCGGUCUUAAAAGUGCGGGGCUCAACCCCGUGAUGGGAUCGAAACUAUCUUUCUUGAGUGCAGGAGAGGAAAGUGGAAUUCCUAGUGUAGCGGUGAAAUGCGUAGAUAUUAGGAGGAACACCAGUGGCGAAGGCGCCUUUCUGGACUGUGUCUGACGCUGAGAUGCGAAAGCCAGGGUAGCGAACGGGAUUAGAUACCCCUGUAGUCC